rnacentral:rRNA from 1 species
GCCUACGGGAGGCAGCAGUAGGGAGAUAUUGCGACAAUGGGUGCGUGCUGUGAUCCAGCCAUGCACGCCGUGCAGGAAGACGGCCUUSUGGGUUGUAAACUGCUUUUAUCUGGGGAUAUAAAAGGGAGUGCGCAUCCAAAUUGAAGGUACCAGAUGAAUAAGCCAC